AGUGAACGCUGGCGGCAGGCCUAAUACAUGCAAGUCGAACGGCAACACAGUGGAGCUUGCUCCAUGGGUGGCGAGUGGCGGACGGGUGAGGAAUACAUGGGAAUCUGCCCAGUCGUGGGGGAUAACGUAUGGAAACGUACGCUAAUACCGCAUGCGCCCUUCGGGGAAAGUCGGGGACCGCAAGGCCUGACGCGAUUGGAUGAGCCCAUGUUCGAUUAGCUAGUUGGCGGGGUAACGGCCCACCAAGGCGACGAUCGAUAGCUGGUCUGAGAGGAUGAUCAGCCACACUGGAACUGAGACACGGUCAGACUCCUACGGGAGGCAGCAGUAGGGAAUAUUGGACAAUAGGGCGCAAGCCUGA
rnacentral:rRNA from 1 species